ACGUGUAUUCUAAUAUUUGGCAGAUGUCGUUUGCAGUCUGUCGCGCUCAUUGUGUUGAGCACUUGACUCUUUGACUUGAAAGCAAAAAAUAUGAGCUUCGCCAUUGGUUGUUCGCGUCAACGGAAAUUUCGCAUUGAAGCAUUGAAUGUACAUAUUUACAUACAUUUGUUGCAUGUAGACAAAUUUACGAACAUUAUGCGUAUGGUUCUUAUAUUUGUUUACAUACACAUAUAAUAAUACAUACAUAUAUGGGCAAAUGUGCGACCGCUUGGUCAUUUAACAUGAUAUCGAAAAGUUUAUUGACGAAAGCAAAUAUUUAUUUAAGUAGUAUAUCAUUAUACAUAUGAAUGUCGUACCAAACCUAUAUAAAAUGCAUAAUUAGAUAGUAAUACAAAUCUUAUUGAAUUAUAAAUUUGCAAAGAUUUUAUGGAAUUCAUCAUAAAAUAAUAAUAAAAUUUUAAAAUAUAUAUGUACAGUGAAAUUCCCCAAGACGGACAGUCCUUAUAACCGGGCAGCUCCAAUAACCGGACAAAUUUUGUGUACACAGGUUUUUCAAUCAUUUUUUCAUACAAAUAUCAUUCUAAUAAACGGACGCUCUAAUAACCGGACGCGGACACUGUAUUUCUAGCCAUUUCCAUGAACAAAUUUCUCAUAAACGGACAAAAUUCAAAUACAUCGCAAGCAAGCUUUGUUGUUCAUUAUAAAAAUGAAAUAGGGGAUUCCCCUUUUAACAUGUAUGCACACAUUCAAGCCGUGCGUGUCAAGUAAAAGGUGGUUUUCUAUUCAGUUUAUCAAGUAAGUUGCAUGCGAGUGGUUGCGUUCAAAGUUCGUAAUAAUAUGGCACCGAAAAAGAAGCUACUUUCUAUUAAAGAGAAAAUGCAAGUUAUUAAUGUUUUCGAAAAAGAAAAGUUAUCAGUACGUGGAAUUGCAAAAAGGUUCAAUAUUGGCAAAACGUAAGCUGCUGAAAUUAAUAAAAAUAAAGAGAAAAUUCGUUCUAAAUGGGAGUCUGGAUCUAAUAUUCACCAAAAGCGAAGUUUCCUUAAAGAAGGCGGCUCGGAAAUAGACAGGAUGUGUUUUCAUUGGUUCGCUAAGGCUAGAAGUCAAAAAAUUCCUAUUUCUGGUCCUAUUUUGAAAGCAAAGGUAAUGAAAAUUGCAGGAAAACUGGGUGUACCUAAUUUUAAAGCUUCGGAUGGAUGGCUAAAUAAAUGGCGAUUGAGGAAUAAUGUUUCCUUCAAAUGCAUAUCUGGUGAAGCUGCAGAUGUGAAUCAGGAUGAUGUCGCUUUUAAAUCUGAAAAAUGUAUGGGAGGUAAGCUAUCAAAGGAAAGACUCACAAUUUUGUUCUGUGCUAAUAUGGCUGGAGAUAAGGAGCCGCUUUUGGUCAUAGGGAAAGCAGCCCGUCCUCGAUCCUUUAAACAUGUUCCAAUUGCAAAACUUUCAGUGGAUUGGAAGUCUAAUAAAGAAGCAUGGAUGACUCACGAAGUGAUGAGCGAAUGGCUGCAGCAGUUCAAUCGAAAAAUAAUCUUGUUUCUAGAUAACGCGGCUUCUCAUCCAAAGGAAUUAGACUUGACCAACAUAAAAAUUUGUUUCUUGCCACCAAAUACAACGGCAGUUAGACAACCCCUUGAUCAAGGUAUAAUCCAAAAUUUUAAAACUUUGUAUAGAAGUUAGUUUAGUUUUAAAACACUUGAUAACUAAAAUUGGCGAUACAAGUUCUGCCUCAGAGCUCUCAAAAUCGAUUAAUGUACUGGAAGCUGUGUAUUUUAUCAAAGCAUCUUGGGAUAAAGUGGAAGCCACAACAAUCCGAAACUGUAAUACUAAAGUAUUUAAAUAUUCUUUACUACGAAAAAUUUCUUAAAUAAACUACAAUGAAUUUUAUAUGUAUAGUAUAUAUUUUUUGACCUCAUCCCCUAUAAGCGGACAUCUCCCAUAACCGGACAAAAAUACUGCGACCGUGAGUGUCCGGUUAUGAGGAAUUUCACUGUACAUACUUAUGUGUUUUCAUAACAAAUAUACAUACAUACAGGCAUAUGUUUACCGAUCUAUAAAUUACAUACAUACUUAUAUGCAGCAUCGUUUGCGCAUAGUAAAUAUGCGAAUCUGUAAGCGUACAUUCCUUAACAUUGGAAUUAUUAUUUUUCUCAUUUAACACUGAAAAUGCUCAAUUCUGCUAUUUUCGUGUCCCCUGAUGUUAAGUGGUGAAACACGCUAAUAAUUUUCUGUGGUGAAACACGCUCAUCCAAAACAGUAAAUAUCCCAAAAUUGAAAUAUCCCUAAAUUUUCGUCAUCGUGAACCUUCUCUAUAAAUAUACG